AUUGACCGCUGGCGGCAGGCCUAACACAUGCAAGUCGAACGAGUGGCGGACGGGUGAGUAAUGUCUGGGAAACUGCAUGAUGGAGGGGGAUCACAUCCGGAAACGGGCGCUAAUACCGCAUACUAUCAGAUGAGCAUAGGUCGGAUUAGCUAGUUGGUGUGGUAACGGACGACAAAGGCGACGAUCCGUAACUGGUCUGAGAGGAUGACACGACACACUGGAACGGAGACACGGUCCAGACUCCUACGUGAGGCGGCAGUGGCGACUAUUGAACAAUGGGCGCAAGCCUGAUGCAUCCAUGCCGCGUGUAUGAAGAAGGCCUUCGGGUUGUAAAGUACUUUCAGCGGGGAGGCGUUACCCGCAGAAGAAGCACCGGCUAACUCCGUGCCAGCAGCCGCGGUAAUAC
rnacentral:rRNA from 1 species